rnacentral:lncRNA from 1 species
UUUUUUUUUCUUUGAGCGGUCCACGCGCGCUGCCCGCGCAUUUAGGCCCAAUUAUUUCGGUCUCCCGCCAAACAGACGCUCCCGGCAGAUAGUGGGCCGUGAAUUUAGUUCUCGCGGCAGACAAAGUGUCCUCACGGACGGAAAUUCUUGCCAGCAGUCCGUACGCCCUCGUACCUACACUUCUGCCGGCAGUUCCACUGCCACUAAGUACUUCUACCGGUAGUAGUAAAAUCCCCGGCAGAUAGUUUGUCUUUGUUUUUGUAUUUUUUCCGGCAGUUAACUGCCCCCAAUUAAAUGUUGUGGUGUAGUGUAUGCUUGGUUCUCUUGUGAAAUCUAGAUUUCUUCACUAACGCAAUUGCUCCAGUAUUGUCAUAAAAGAUUUUCAUUGGACCCGAUGUAUUAGGUAUGACACUUAGAUCGAAUAUGAACUUCUUCAUCCAGACUCCUUCAUUUGCUGCUUCCGAAGCAGCUAUGUACUUCGCUUCACACAUAGAUCCCGCCACGACGCUUUGUUUAGAACUGCACCAACUGACAGCUCCACCGUUUAAUGUAAACACGUAUCCGGUUUGUGAUUUAGAAUCGUCCGGAUCAGUGUCAAAGCUUGCAUCAACGUAACCAUUUACGAUGAGCUUUUUGUCACCUCCAUAAACAAGAAACAUAUCCUUAGUCCUUUUCAGGUACUUCAGGAUGUUCUUGACCGAUGUCCAGUGAUCCACUCCUGGAUUACUUUGGUACCUCCCUGCUAGAUUUGUAGCAAGGCACACAUCAGGUCUGGUACACAGCAUUGCAUACAUGAUAGAGCCUAUGGCUGAAGCAUAGGGAACAUAUUUCAUUUUCUCUCUAUCUUCUGCAGUGGUCGGGCAUUGAGUUUUACUCAACUUCACACCUUGUAACACAGGCAAGAACCCUUUCUUUGCUUGAUCCAUUUUGAACUUCUUCAAAACUUUGUCAAGGUAUGUGUUUUGUGAAAGUCCAAUUAAGCGUCUUGAUCUAUCUCUAUAGAUCUUAAUGCCCAAUAUAUAAGCAGCUUAACCGAGGUCUUUCAUUAAAAAACUCUUAUUCACGUAUCCCUUUAUGCUAUCCAGAAAUUCUAUAUCAUUUCCAAUCAGCAAUAUGUCAUCCACAUAUAAUAUCAGAAAUGCUACAGAGCUCCCACUCACUUUCUUGUAAAUACAAGCUUCUCCGAAAGUCCGUAUAAAACCAAAUGCUUUGAUCACACUAUCAAAGCGUUUAUUCCAACUCCGAGAGGCUUGCACCAGUCCAUAAAUGGAGCGCUGGAGCUUGCACACUUUGUUAGAUCUCUUUGGAUCGAUAAAACCUUCCGGUUGCAUCAUAUACAACUCUUCUUCUAGAAAUCCAUUCAAGAAUGCAGUUUUUACAUCCAUCAGCCAUAUUUCAUAAUCAUAAAACACGUCAAUUGCUAACAUGAUUCGGACAGACUUAAGCAUCGCUACGGAUGAGAAGGUCUCAUCGUAGUCAAUCCCUUGAACUUGUCGAAAACCUUUUGCAACAAGUCGAGCUUUGUAGACAGUAACAUUACCGUCAGCGUCAGUCUUCUUCUUGAAGAUUCAUUUAUUCUCAAUUGCUUGCCGAUCAACGGGCAAGUCAACCAAAGUCCACACUUUGUUCUCAUACAUGGAUCCCAUCUCAGAUUUCAUGGCUUCAAGCCAUUUUGCGGAAUCUGGGCUCACCAUCGCUUCUUCAUAGUUCGUAGGUUUAUCAUGAUCUAGUAGCAUGACUUCCAAACAGGAUUACCGUACCACUCUGGUGUGGAUCUUACUCUGGUUGAUCUACGAGGUUCAGUAGCAACUUGAUCUGAAGUUCCAUGAUUAUCAUCAUUAACUUCCUCACUAAUUGGUGUAGGUGUCACAGAAACCGGUUUCUGUGAUGUACUACUUUCCAAUAAGGGAGCAGGUACAAUUACCUCAUCAAGUUCUACUUUUCUCCCAUUCAUUUCUUUCGAGAGAAACUCUUUCUCUAGAAAGGAUCCAUUCUUAGCAACGAAUGUCUUGCCUUCGGAUCUGUGAUAGAAGGUGUACCCAACAUUCUCCUUUGGAUAUCUUAUGAAGACACAUUUCCCCGACUUGGGUUCGAGCUUAUGAGGUUGAAGCUUUUUCACAUAAGCAUCGCAGUCCCAAACUUUAAGAAAUGACAACUUUGGUUUCUUGCCAAAUCACAGUUCAUAAGGCGUCGUCUCAACGAAUUUUGAUGGUGCCCUAUUUAACGUGAAUGCCGUCGUCUCUAAAGCAUAACCCCAAAACGAUAGCGGUAAAUCUAUAAGAGACAUCAUAGAUUGCACCAUAUCAAGUAAAGUGCGAUUACGACAUUCGAACACACCAUUAUGAUGUGGUGUUCUAGGUGGCGUGAGUUGUGAAACUAUUCUGCAUUGUUUCAAAUGUAGACCAAACUCGUAACUCAAAUAUUCUCCUCCACGAUCAGAUCGUAGAUACUUUAUUUUCUUGUUACGAUGAUUUUCAACUUCACUCUAAAAUUCUUUGAACUUUUCAAAUGUUUCAGAUUUAUGUUUCAUUAAGUAGAUAUACUCAUAUCUGCUUAAAUCAUCUGUGAAGGUGAGAAAAUAACGAUAUCCGCCACGAGCCUCAACAUUCAUCGGACCACAUACAUCUGUAUGUAUUAUUUCCAACAAAUCUGUUGCUCUCUCCAUAGUACCGGAGAACGGCGUUUUAGUCAUCUUGCCCAUGAGGCACGGUUCGCAAGUACCAAGUGAUUCAUAAUCAAGUGGUUCCAAAAGUACAUCAGUAUGAAGUUUCUUCAUGCGCUUUACACUGAUAUGACCUAAACGGCAGUGCCACAAAUAAUUUGCACUAUCAUUAUCAACUCUGCAUCUUUUGACUUCAACAUUAUGAAUAUGUCUAUCACUACUAUCGAGAUUCAUCGAAAAUAGACCACUCUUCAAGGGUGCAUGACCAUAAAAGAUAUUACUCAUAUAAAUAGAACAACCAUUAUUCUCUGAUUUAAAUGAAUAACCGUCUCGCAUCAAACAAGAUCAAGAUAUAAUGUUUAUGCUCAACGCUAGCACCAAAUAACAAUUGUUUAGGUCUAAUACUAAUUCCGAAGGUAUAUGUAGAGGUAGUGUGCCGACCGCGAUCACAUCGACUUUGGAACCAUUUCCCACGCACAUCGUCACCUCGUCCUUUGCCAGUGUUCGCUUAAUCUGUAGUCCCUGUUUCGAGUUGCAAAUAAUAGCAACAGAACCAGUAUCAAAUACCCUGGUGCUACUGCGAGCUCUAGUAAGGUACACAUCAAUAACAUGUAUAUCACAUAUACCUUUGUUCACCUUGCCAUCCUUCUUAUCCGCCAAAUACUUGGGGCAGUUCCGCUUCCAGUGAUCAGUCUGCUUGCAGUAGAAGCACUCAGUCUCAGGCUUAGGUCCAGACUUGGGUUUCUUCUCCUGAGCAGCAACUUGCUUGCUGUUCUUCUUGAAGUUCCCCUUCUUCUUCCCUUUACCCUUUGUUCUUGAAACUGGUGGUCUUAUUGACCAUCAACACUUGAUGCUCCAUCUUGAUUUCUACCUUUGCAGCUUUUAGCAUUGCGAAGAGCUCGAGAAUCGUCUUAUCCAUCCCUUGCAUGUUAUAGUUCAUCACGAAGCUCUUGUAACUUGGUGGAAGUGAUUGGAGAAUUCUGUCAAUGAUGCUAUCAUCCAGAAGAUUAACUCCCAGUUGAAUCAAGUGAUUACAAUUCCCAGACAUCUUGAGUAUAUGCUCACUGACAGAACUAUUCUCCUCCAUCUUGCAGCUAUAGAACUUAUUGGAGACUUCAUAUCUCUUAAUCCGGGCAUUCUUCUGGAAUAUUAACUUCAACUCCUGGAACAUCUCAUAUGCCCCAUGACGUUCAAAACGUCGUUGAAGUCCCGGUUCUAAGCCGUAAAGCAUGGCACAUUAAACUAUUGAGUAGUCAUCAGCUUUGCUCUGCCAGACGUUCUUAACGUCGUCAGUUGCAUCAGCAGCAGGCCUGGCACUCAGCGGUGCUUCCAGGACGUAAUUCUUCUGGGCAGCAAUGAGGAUAAUCCUCAAGUUAUGGACCCAGUCUCUGUAAUUGCUACCAUCAUCUUUCAACUUUGCUUUCUCAAGGAACGCAUUAAACUUCAACGGAACAACAGCACGGGCCAUCUAUCUACAAACAACAUAGACAAGCAAGAUACUAUCAGGUACUAAGUUCAUGAUAAAUUUAAGUUCAAUUUAAUCAUAUUACUUAAGAACUCCCACUUAGAAAGACAUCCCUCUAGUCCUCUAAGUGAUCACGUGAUCCAAAUCAACUAAACUAUAACCGAUCAUCACGUGAAAUGGAGUAGCUUUCAUUGGUGAACAUCACUAUGUUGAUCAUAUCUACUAUAUGAUUCACGCUCGACCUUUCGGUCUCAGUGUUCCGAGGCCAUAUCUGCAUAUGCUAGGCUCGUCAAGUUUAACCUGAGUCUUCUACGUGUGCAAAAACUGGCUUGCACCCGUUGUAGAUGGACGUAGAGCUUAUCACACCCGAUCAUCACGUGGUGUCUGGGCACGACGAAUUUGGCAACGGUGCAUACUCAGGGAGAACUCUUUUAUCUUGAAAUUUAGUGAGAGAUCAUCUUAUAAUGCUACCGUCAAUCAAAGCAAGAUAAGAUGCAUAAAAGAUAAACAUCACAUGCAAUCAAUAUAAGUGAUAUGAUAUGGCCAUCAUCAUCUUGUGCUUGUGAUCUCCAUCUCCGAAGCACCAUCAUGAUCACCAUCGUCACCGGUGCGACACCUUGAUCUCCAUCGUAGCAUCGUUGCCGUCUCGCCAAUCUUAUGCUUCUACGACUAUCGCUACCACUUAGUGAUAAAGUAAAGCAUUACAGGGCGAUUGCAUUGCAUACAAAAAAGCGACAACCAUAUGGUUCCUGCCAGUUGUCGAUAACUCGGUUACAAAACAUGAUCAUCUCAUACAAUAAAAUUUAGCAUUAUGUAUUGACCAUAUCACGUCACAAUAUGCCCUGCAAAAACAAGUUAGACGUCCUCUACUUUGUUGUUGCAAGUUUUACGUGGCUGCUACGGGCUUAGCAAGAACCGUUCUUACCUACGCAUCAAAAACCACAACGAUAGUUUGUCAAGUUGGUGAUGUUUUAACCUUCACAAGGACCGGGCGUAGCCACACUCGGUUCAACUAAAGUUGGAGAAACUGACACCCGCCAACCACCUGUGUGCAAAACACGUCGGUAGAACCAGUCUCGCGUAAGCGUACGCGUAAUGUCGGUCCGGGCCGCUUCAUCCAACAAUACCGCCGAACCAAAGUAUGACAUACUGGUAAGCAGUAUGACUUAUAUCGCCCACAACUCACUUGUGUUAUACUCGUGCAUAUAACAUCUACGCAUAAAACCUGGCUCGGAUGCCACUGUUGGGGAAUGCAGUAAUUUCAAAAAAAUUCCUACGCACACGCAAGAUCAUGGUGAUGCAUAGCAACGAGAGGGGAGAGUGUUGUCCACGUACCCUCAUAGACCGAAAGCGGAAGCGUUAGCACAACGCGGUUGAUGUAGUCGUAUGUCUUCAUGAUCCGACCGAUCAAGUACCAAACGUACGGCACCUCCGAGUUCAGCACACGUUCAGCCCGAUGACGUCCCUCGAACUCCGAUCCAGCCGAGUGUUGAGGGAGAGUUUCGUCAGCAUGAUGGCGUGGUGACGAUGUUGAUGUUCUACCGACGCAGGGCUUCGCCUAAGCACCUCUACAGUAUUAUCGAGGUGGACUAUGGUGGAGGGGGGCACCGCACAUGGCUAAGAGAUCAAUGAUCAAUUGUUGUAUCUAUGGGGUGCCCCCUGCCCCCGUAUAUAAAGGAGCAAGGGGGGUGCGGCCGGCCAUAGGAGGAGGCGCGCCGGAGGAGUCCUACUCCCGGCCCUCCUUUUUCCUAGUUGGAUUAUGACUGGGGGGAGGAGGAGAGAGGGGAAAGGAAAGGGGGGCGCCGCCCCCCUCCUUGUCCAAUUCGGACUUGGGAGAGGAAGGGGCGCGCGGCUGCCCCUUGGCCGCCUCUCCUCUUCCUCCACUUGGGCCCAUAAGGCCCAAUAGCCUCCGGGGGGUUCCGAUAACCCCUCCGGUACUCUGGUAAAAUCACUAUUUCACCCGGAACACUUCCGAUAUCCAAACAUAGGCUUUCAAUAUAUCAAUCUUCAUGUCUCGACCAUUUCGAGACUCCUCGUCAUGUCCGUGAUCACAUCUGGGACUCCGAACAACCUUCGGUACAUCAAACCACAUAAACUCAUAAUAAAAUUGUCAUCGUAACGUUAAGCAUGCGAACCCUACGGGUUCGAGAACUAUGUAGACAUGACCGAGACACGUCUCCGGUCAAUAAACAACAGCGGAACCUGGAUGCUCAUAUUGGCUCCUACAUAUUCUACGAAGAUCUUUAUCGGUCAGACCGCAUAACAACAUACGUUGUUUCCUUUGUCAUCGGUAUGUUACUUGCCCGAGAUUCGAUCAUCGGUAUCUCAAUACCUAGUUCAAUCUCGUUACCGGCAAGUCUCUUUACUCGUUCCGUAAUACAUCAUCCCGCAACUAACUCAUUAGUUGCAAUGCUUGCAAGGCUUAAGUGAUGUGCAUUACCGAGAGGGCCCAGAGAUACCUCUCCGACAAUCGGAGUGAUAAAUCUUAAUCUCGAAAUACGCCAACCCAACAAGUACUUUCGGAGACACCUGUAGAGCACCUUUAUAAUCACCCAGUUACGUUGUGACGUUUGGUAGCACACAAAGUGUUCCUCCGAUAAACGGGAGUUGCAUAAUCUCGUAGUCAUAGGAACAUGUAUAAGUCAUGAAGAAAGCAAUAGCAACAUACAAAACGAUCGUGUGCUAAGCUAACGGAAUGGGUCAUGUCAAUCACAUCAUUCUCCCAAUGAUGUGAUCCCGUUAAUGAAAUGACAACUCAUGUCUAUGGUUAGGAAACACAACCAUCUUCGAUUAACGAGCUAGUCAAGUAGAGGCAUACUAGUGACACUCUGUUUGUCUAUAUAUUCACACAUGUAUUAUGUUUCCGGUUAAUACAAUUUUAGCAUGAAUAAUAAACAUUUAUCAUGAUAUAAGGAAAUAAAUAAUAACUUUAUUAUUGCCUCUAGGGCAUAUUUCCUUCAUUCAGGGGUGUAAAGAAGCCUAUCCUUGCGCGCCAUGUGUCUCGCUGCCGGCAUGGGCAUGCGUUGAUGCCCAUUGGGCACAACCCCCACAAACCCUAGCCUCAGCCUCAGUCCACGGCAUCAUCCUCCCCCCUCAUCCGCCAUCGCACCCUUUUUGUCCUCGUCUCUCUUCCACGCCCUUUUUCCUUUUUUUUCUUUUGCAUCUCUCUCUCUUUCUCUCUCACCCGAUGCUGCCCCUUGUUGUGGUUGUGCCGGGAACCACCACGGCCACGUCGUCAAAGGAAGCCGCCAUCCGCUGCCUUGGAGCCGCGCAGGGUGCCUCCCAAGGGGAGCGGAGGAGAGAUUUGGACGAGUGGGUGAGGAGGCGCAAGGCAAGCAAGAGGUUGGGGUCGCCGGAGGAGCACAACCACAGGGAUUGGUCGCCACCAGAGCAUAUAGAGGAGGUCGAUGCAGGGGUGCAAUGGGAUGGUCGGGGAGAGAUCCAUGUUAAAUGCUCGAUAUUAUGGUUACACGUAGAUAUUAAGUAGGUAGUAUACUACAAAUUAUUACAUAAGUUCUUUGACAAACUAUUGAAAGUAAAUAUAGUUCCCACAAGAAUAAUGAGAUGGAAUUCCACUCUCUUUCACCCUUGGUGUGGCACUAUCGCAUACCAGUUCAUUCAACCGGUUGCGCUGUGUACCAUUCCAGAGAUCAUAUCAUCUUGACACAAUCACUUGAUAACAUGAUACCAAACCAACAUAUAUUAUAGGGUACAAGAGCAAACAUUACUAAACAGUAUAACUGAGCCAGUUACGAGCCACCACAGCGAUUCAACACUUUCAGCCGUCCGAUGGCAUCAUUGGAUGUCUCAGAUCUUCUAAUUUUCCCACCCAACGUUGCUGGUCAGUUUCACCGCGCCCCAGCCAGCGUGACGGCCUGCCCAACCUAAAAGGGCUGCUGCUCCGGGAAGCAACUUAGACGGUCUGGCGUCAAUUGGGCCAAGAAACAGCCCAGUUAGUGUUGCACAUAACCCCACCUCUACAAGACAAAAAAAAAGAUCAAUCUGUACUCUCCUUCGUCAUUGUUCGUCUUCCCGGCGGCGACGAUAUUACAUCGUGCAUGGCUCUCGCCUUCUAUGUUCACUCGUUAGGGUUGGGGAUGGUUUAGGUACACCUCUCUGCCGCCUGGGUACUGAUCCAUGGGUCCUCGCCUCCUUUUCGUAUGUGCUUGUUUCACGAAGUUGAUCCGGGUUGACCUGUUGGGAGUUUGAGACAGGCAGGUGCCGUGGUUUAAUCUGUUCGGGACACACAUGCCUGACUUGAGGCUCGUGCAUGCCAUAGAACAGAUUGGUUCUGUACUUUUUGGUCUCCUGCUAUCACCCGUCUUUUUGGGUGAGUUCUUAAUUUUUCUGACUGAUUGUAGUUUUCUGUACUUUUUGGUCUCCUGCUAUCACCCGUCUUUUUGGGUGAGUUCUUAAUUUUUCUGACUGAUUGUAGUUUUCUGCUGCCCGUUUAACACAUUAUCCUUUUUUUAGGAUUCACAUUAUCCAUUGUUGAUGUGUGCUUUAGGGUGUGAUCCGGGUUGCGUCCAGCCGGCAACACUUCCAAGUAUCGGCACCACUUGUUGAUCAAAGACGCUGGCCAUCUUCUGAAUACUGACUUAGACUACGUGCAACAUCUUGGUGGAGACACCCCUUUGAAAAGAGAUGCUAAACUGGCCUUAAAAGAUUUACAUUAUCGCCCAAAUCAAGUCAUGGCUUUUCUGGAAUUCUUGAUUUUAGGGGCGGCACCUACAAGCCGUACCUGAUAGAAGAUAGUGUGCUCUUUCUGCAGAACAUUCUAUUGUAUACAUGUCGGGAAAAUGCUUCUUGCACAACAAGGGAAAUAAAUAUUCCCCACAAAAAAACAAGGAAAUAAAUUUGACAAUGACCGCAUGUAAUUUUAUUUUUAUGAAAACAUAUUUAGGCCACCCGGAUUUCAUCAAUCACUAAAUUAUGGUUAUAUUUCUACUCUUUAUGAAUUGUUUUGUACUUCCUCCAUUUCUUUAUAUAAGGUGUAUAAUUUUUGACACGGUGACCAAGGCACAUAAUUAUAGACAAUUGAGGACGAAAUUACCUUUGUCUAAUUCGUUGAUUAUUGGCAAGUAAAUCAUUUAGGCUAGGAAAGAAAGAGAUACAUGCAAUCGGAAGAGAUAUAGUUUUCUUUAUUUCUCUACAAGGAGAGAUACAUGCAAUUAGGUUCUUUUUUCUGGAGGGCCAAGAACAAAAUUAUGAAAAAUUAGAACAAAUGCACCUUUACAUUGUGGAAUUUUAUCAAAAAACUAAUACACCUAAUAUAAAGGAACGGAGGGAGUAGUUUGCACAAGUAUUUCUAGCUAUUGCGGGUUGUCUUAAGACAUUCCUUAAAUGAGUUUGUUAAGUUGUUUUUCUAUUUUAUCUAUGUUCUUACACAUUUUAAAUUUUCUAUAGCAUGAGCGGGCGCGGCAACGCGCGCAUCUCCGGUCUAGUAUUGUUACAACAAUAGUGAACCCGCUGAAAAGGCAAAGUGCAUCAGCCAUGUACAUUAUUUAUACGUAAUAAGCCUUGAUCAGAGUCAUAGAUUAAAGAGAAAGCGGAAGUGUAACGGUAGUGGACUCCUAGGACACAUCCUAGUCGACAAACUCGAUGGCAUCUCCACAAGCAUGAGGGCCAUCCUCGUGGCUUGGGCAAAACAAUAAGCCAGAUGAGUAAGUUGAAUGUACUCACAAGCAAAUAAAACUUAGGCAAACGAAUCCAACAAUACAUCAGGAGCCAAAUCCAGAUUUCAAAACUAAACGAAUCCAACAUGUACGUACUUUUGUACCUGUAUAUAUACACCCUAUGGGCUGCAAUACAUGUGAAUCAUAUACUCAAAAUCCCUCUAGUCCACAAUUUUGGCAAAUAUUAAAGAGACGAGGGAAAGCUUUGGGUGCUUGCUGGCUCAAAGCACUUGAGUAGCAUGUAACGCCCCGAGACCGAUGUGUCAGGUGUCCUCCAGUUAUUCGCUGCUGUUGCCUUGUCAUUGCUUGCAUGUCAUGCAUUGCAUAUCAUGUCAUCAUGUGCAUUCAUUUGCAUACGUGUUCAUCUCAUGCAUCCGAGCAUUUUCCCCGUUGUCCGUUUUGCAUUCCGGCGCUCCUAUCUCCUCCGGUGGUCCUUUCUACCUUCUUUCGUGUGUGGGGGUUAAACAUUUCCGGACUGGACCGAGACUUGCCAAGCGGCCUUGGUUUACUACCGGUAGACCGCCUGCCAAGUUUCGUACCAUUUGGACUUCGUUUAAUACUCCAACAGUUAACCAAGGGACCGAGAAGGUCUCGUGUGUGUUGCAGCCCAACACCCUUCCAAUUUGGUCCAAAACCCGCCAAAACCCUCUCCAUCAUCUAGAGCGUUCGAUCACGAUUGCGUGGCCGAAAACCGCACCUCAUUUGGACUCUUCUAGCUCCCUCUACCUAUAUAAACACCUCCCCCUCCGAAAUUCGCGGUGCAAACCCUAGAUCCCUCCCUCUCCUCGCGCGCCGGACAAAAACCUCGUCGGCGGACGUGUCCAUUUCAACCUCCGCCGCCGCCCGCGACCAAUCAGAGCUUGCCACGUGUACCCGGCCGGCCCCCUCCGCCGUGGCCCGCCCGGGCCCGCGUUCGGCCCUUCCCGCCGCCAUUUUGGGUCGCGCCGUCUCACCAACUGCGCCGCCGUCUUCCCGCUGUCCGGCGUCGGCCCGCCACCGCCUCCCCUCACCGGACGUCGCCGGAAAGGCGCCACCGCACCGCGCCUCCCGCGCGGGCUCUCCGCCGCCCCACCUUACUCCCUGCCCGGGGCCCCUCCGACCAGAUCCGCCGCGGAUCAGGCCAGAUCCAGCGGCUCCCGUCCGCCGUCGCCUUUCCCCAGGCUCGCCGCCGGCCGUCGCCGCCAUGGGUCUUCGCCGCCCUGCCUCCCCGAUCCGAUCGGGCGGUCGGGAGGAGGACGAGGUUCCGUUGACCGCGUGGGUCGCGCUCGAGUCCGGCCCAGCUCGCCGGCCUCCUUCCUCUUUGUUUUGGGCCGAAGCCCAUGGGUGAGCCACCACUAUUCCCUGCCCCGUGCGCGACAUACUAUCUUACGCCCAGUUCCAGACUUGGCGAUUUUCACUAAGUCCUGAAAUUUUUCCAGAUUCAAAUGCCCAUGUUCAUCAUAUCGUAACUUUGCAUCCGUAACUCUGUUUUGUGCGUGUAGCAUAUCAAAAUGUUCGCCUCAGAGAGAACAUCAUUUCAUCUCAUUGCAUCAUUUUUAUUUGAGCUUAUCUUAAUGCCUGAAAUGCUGUUGGUAGAGUGCUAUUUGAGUUAAUUGUCAGAUCUGCUGCACCAAAUAGCUAUUUGUCAUUUUUGCCAUGAUUAAUGUGUGCAUGAUAUGCCCCUGAGCUCUACAUAUGUUUUAUUAUAUGCUUUUCCAUCUUUACAGAUGUGCUAUCCAUGUAUUUUUGUGAUAUGUGUGGUGACUAGUACAAGCUUGCAAAGUGGUGCAUUCGUUAAUGCUGAUUUCAAGGACUUAGAAUUUCUCUAAGUCCUUGAUCUGUUUUUAUCAAUAUAUCAUAUGUUCAUGUUGUUUUCCUAGUGAUCCGUGCCUCUUUUGAGGAUGAUCAGUAAGGAUGAUUUGUUAAUCUUGUGGUGAUCUAGCCAUCCAUUUCUUUGUUUGCAUUUAUGGAGCACCCUAGCUUGAGUCAAUCGAGCUCUACUUUUGCUAUUUCGUGAAUCUGGGCAGAUUGUCUACCUGUUAGCGAUUUUGCUGAGGAUGUUGUGAUUGAUCCGUGUAUGCUAUGUUGUCGUUCUUGCCAUGUCUAGCUUAUAUAACAUGUAUUCUUGAUGGGUGUAUGCUUAGAUUGUCAUGCCUUACUCUGUAGUCAGUGCAUCGAGCUCGUAAACAUGCCUACUCGUUGAGAUAUUUGCAUGCUUCAGUUUUUCUCUAAGUCUGUAACCUGAUUAUAUUUUUACCAUGUUCACAUGCUUGAAAUUGUAUUUUCUGAUCCUUUUUGGCUCAAGGUCACUAAGGGACUUUUGUUAAGCUCUUUAAGUAGCUUCAUGCCAUACCUUGCUUUUUCAUGUUAAGUUCCUAUAGCAUAUAGUUUUCUUGCUCCAAAGUGUGCUACCUGAUCUGAAAUUCCAGGCUUGUGUUAAUUUCACCAAGUCUGAAAUCUGUUUAUCAUUUUCACUUUUGUCAUGCUUGUUUGAACCUUUUAAUGGAUGAAUUUGCCGUAGCUCAGUGUUCAUCUUUUGUCAAGCAUCAUGAGUGGAUCCCUGCCAUGUAUUUUGUUUCCAUAUUUGAGUGAUGUAGCAUAUUUAUCUUGUUGCAUUUAGAUGGCUACUUGCUGUUAUCGCAGACCGGUGCCAUAUUUGUUUUUGCUUGCCAUUUCCAAACCGUGUCUCCGAUUCCAGUGUUCUUUAUAUCGAUUUCAACCGAAAUCACCUCACCUUUCCAAUGGCACACUUGGGUUUCCAAGUUGAGGUCAGGUUCAAUCAUUCAUUUGCAAAUCAUGCAUAUGUAUCGCAUACCGCAUCCCGCAUAUCAUACCAUGUUCAUGUGUUGGUUGUUUACUAUGUUAUGUGCUUCUUUCCGGUGUUGCUUCUUCGGGUUGGUUCCGAUAACGUCGCGUUUGUGAGGACCCGUUCGUCUACGUCCGUUUGUCUUCUUCAUGGACUCGUUCUUCUUCCUUGCGAGAUUUCAGGCAAGAUGAUCAUACCCUCGAAAUCACUUCUAUCUUUGCUUGCUAGAUGCUCGCUCUUUUUCUAUGCCUAUGUUGUGAUACCUACCACUUGCUUAUCAUGCCUCCCAUAUUGUGAACCAAGCUUCUAACCCACCUUGUCCUAGCAAACCAUUGUUUGGCUAUGUUACCGCUUUGCUCAGCCCCUCUUAUAGCGUUGUUAGUUGCAGGUGAAGAUUGAAGUUUGUUCCUUGUUGGAACCAUGGAGAUGUUAUUCCUUAUUGAAACAUGUUUAUUUGUUGGGAUAUCACAAUAUAUCUUAUUUAAUUAAUGCAUAUAUAUACUUGAUAAAGGGUGGAAGGCUUGGCCUUAUUCCUGGUGUUUUGUUCCACCUUUGCCGCCCUAGUUUCCGUCAUAUCGGUGUUAUGUUAUCGGAUUUUGCGUUCCUUACGCGGUUGGGUAAUAAUGGGAACCCCUUGACAGUUCGCCUUAAAUAAAACUCUUCCAGCAAUGCCCAACUUUGGUUUUACCAUUCGCCACCUACCCCUUUUCUUUUCCCUUGGGAGUCGCGCUCCUGAGGGUCAUCAUUAUUUUACCCCCCCGGGCCAGUGUUUCUCUGAGUGUUGGUCCAACCUGUCAGCUGCCGGUGGCCACCAGGGGCAACUCUGGGCUGGCCUACCAGUACCUUGGACAAUCCGGUGUGCUCUGAGAACGAGAUAUGUGCAGCUCCUAUCGGGAUUUGUCGGCACAUUCGGGCGGUGUUGCUGGACUUGUUUUACCAUUGUCGAAAUGUCUUGUAACCGGGAUUCCGAGCCUGAUCGGGUCUUCCCGGUAGAAGGAAUAUCCUUCGUUGACCGUGAGAGCUUGUGAUGGGCUAAGUUGGGACACCCCUGCAGGGAUUUGAACUUUCGAAAGUCGUGCCGCGGUUAUGGGCAGAUGGGAAUUUGUUAAUAUCUGGUUGUAGAAAACCUGAAGUUGACCUUAAAUUAAAAUACAUCAACCGCGUGUGUAACCCUGAUGGUCUCUUUCCGGCGGAGUCCGGGAAGUGAACACGGUGUUGGAGUUAUGUUUGACGUAGGUUGUUCUAGGAUCACUUCUUGAUCAUAGUUUCUCGAUCGUGCUUUGCCUUCUCUUCUCGCUCUCAUUUGCGUAUGUUUAGCCACCAUAUAUGCUAGUCGCUUGCUGCAGCUCCACCUCAUACCUUUACCUUACCCAUAAGCUUAAAUAGUCUUGAUCUCGAGGGUGUGAGAUUGCUGAGUCCCCGUGACUCACAAAUACUUCCAAAACCAGUUUGCAGGUGCCGAGGAUACCGUGCAGAUGACGCAACCGAGCUCAAGGAGGAGCUCGUUGAAGAUCUUGUCCUUUGUGUUGUUCUGUUUCCAGUUGAUCAGUAGUGGAGCCCAGUCGGGACGAUCGGGGAUCUGCAUAGCAUUUGGGGUAGUCUUCUUUUAUUUUGGUUCCGUAGUCGGACCUUGAUUGUAUUUGGUUGUUGUAAUGCUUUAUUCAUGUAAUUGUGUGAAGUGACGAUUGUAAGCCAACUAUGUAUCUCUUUCCCCUACGUAUUACUUGGGUUGUGUGAAGAUUACCUCACUUGCGACAUUGUUUUCAAUGCGGUUAUGCCUCUAAGACGUGCUUCGGCACGUGGGAGAUAUAGCCGCAUCGAGGGUGUUACAUAGCAUUAGGGCAUCUUCAAGACGGAGCCGCAAACCUCCCCUAUACGUCUGGAGCGCAGUGUUCGGACCACUUUUGCCAUUCAACCGGGACCUAUAUAUGUCCAGAUGUACGGAUUCCGCUAUCCAAGAGACAAACGUGGGGGAGUUUUGCCGGAGUGAGUCCAGACAUGCACUUGACCAGUCACAUGCAUGGUCCCUCUUUUCUCUCUCUCCUCCCAACCGCACAUGCAUGGUCCCCCUCUCCUCUCUCUCCUCCCAACCAACACAAAUAGUCCACCAUUUGCAUGAUCCCCACCUACUUUUUCUCCUCCCAACAGGAUAUUUUCUCCUCCGAACAUAUAUCGAAGAUAUUUGCGGAUCAGCGUUGGAGAUGCUCUUAUGUCGGGAGAGUAGUCCUGGUGUAAUUUUGUUGUGAACCUUUGUUUUCUUCUCCUUAGUUAAUUUUUUCGAAAAGGGGGGUUCGUUCUCCUUAGUUAAUGAAUGAGUGACUCUUUUGUCUCUAUAUUUCAAAGACAUAAAAUCCAAGUGAGAGAUAGCUUGAUCCCACAAGUGGGGGUUACUGCAGCAACUUGCGUUUAACUACUAGUGUUUAAGGCCGCAGAGUAGAUUAACUUCACGAGGCCGACACCUUUAAGCACUUAGCAACAGGAACUAGUAGUACAAAAGCAAGGAAUAAAUCAUGUCGUGUCCUGAUGAUCAAGGCUUUUUAGCAAUCCUCCUCCUUAUCUUAAUUAUUCCCCCCUUUCCUGUUCAAAAUGUGCGUCUUAACACGAAUAUAUCAUGGAAGUGAUACGUGUCAAACUCUCAUCAAGUUUCUUUCCUGUUUAUAUGAUUAGUAAUAGAUUUUGUUUGGAUUGUAGGAUUUAAUUGAUUGUUUUUUGUUACAUGAAUCUUGAUGAUUGUUGGGUUUGUUUUUUAUUCAAAAAGGUAACCAGUUGUUGAUCCACAAUGCAAGAACACAAGCAUACACAUGUAAUAGCAUUGCACCAAACAAACAUUGUUGUACAAUUCUCUAGAAAAAAAAUGUGAAAACAACUCUUGUAAGGUUGGCAUUCAGAAUUCAAGAGUACAAAACUAGCUUAUGAAUAGUAGGUUUUCACGCAUCAAUUAAGUGAUGGUUUUGCUCAAAAAGUAUUAUUAAUUGAUGGUCUCAAACUAAAAUCAUGUCAGUUAUUUUCGAACAGAGGGAGUAACAACACACUAUUGGCUCUGUAAUACUAGUAUUCAUGGAUGUGUAUGCCGGCGUAACUAAAAGGUUCAAUCAGACAAACAAACUCAAUGUUGACCUUGCACUAACUUAUUCUGAAAUCCACAUCUGAACUGAGGAUAGGUUCGGAUAUCAACAUAACAAGCAGCGAAAUAUAUACAAGACGUAACUUGCCCAAGAUAGGCGCACUAUGCCUGAGGCUUGAGCACAUUAUUACAGCAGUGCUGAGCAACACUGUUUGAAACAAAAUUAACCAUCACACUUCCCCGUUGCGAGGCUGCGAGAGUACGAGAGAUGCACACGCGGACAUGGACGACAGUACGCCUCUUCAACCCUUGCAAGCGAACAGGCCGGUGCACACCUCGUGGAAGGCGUCGAGGAUGGCGGCGCGGUGCUCGCGCGCGUUCACGGACACGUAGCAGUUGAGCAGCGCCCGCAGCUCCGCCGGCUCGGCCAUCCGCUUCGCCGCGAUCACCUCCGCGAUGGACCGGCGGAACUCCUCCCGGGGCUCGUACGUCCUCCUGUCCACGGCCACCAGCACGACGCACGGCUUCCUCUCGCGGGGCCUGGGCGCGCUCCUCUCGUGGCAGCCGCCGCCGCCGCUGGCGCAGGAGCAGACGCACGGCCAGCGACGGUGCUGGUCGGCGGGCUCCGUCCCGCGGCGCGUCGUCGCCGACGACCGGCCGUCGGCGGAGGCGGCGUCGGCCAUGGAGUGCAGCCUCGCCUGGACCAUGCCGUGGGCGAUGUCCGACAUGCGGCCGCGCGUCGUGUCCAGCGCGUCCAGGGACGAGCAGGACGCCGAGGAGGACACGCUGAGCCGCGACGCGCCGCAGCACAGCGCGCGGCACCUGCCGUCCUUGUGCUUGGCCUUCGCCGCCGUGGAGGCAUCGGCCUGGUUCUUGCCGCCGGCGUUCUUCUGCCGCGGCUUGCUCCGGCCCGAGAAGAAGUGCAUCGCCGCUCCCCGCCCUUCCUCCGUUCCCGCCGCGCUCUGCUCUGCUACGUUGUCCUGUCGUGCAACCGCAAGAGGACAGACAAUGCGCAAUUGAGCCAACGGGCAAGGGUAGUAGUAGUAGUAGUAAGAUGCAUGGGCACUGCAACUACAAGAGGACCGUGCGCGGUUGUAAAGCGAUCAAAGGCGCCGCCUUUUGGUGUCGUGAUUAAGCCAUUUUUAAGCCUCGGAAAAGGAGGAGGGUAAGUAGAGCAGCUGAUUAAGCUCCAUAGCUUAAGCUUUAGGAUGUAGCAGGAUCAUGCUGUCCCCUAACCAGCAGCAACUUGGCAUCUCCAACACACCGCUUUCUCUUUAGCCACGGCAUUCUUAAUCAGGAUCAGCUCACUUGUCAAAUCAUAAACGUGAUUAGCCGCUUAUAAAAUUGUAAGCGUCAAUGAUCGUCCCUGGUCGCCAUUACGUGAAACCUACUUAUGCCAUAAUUACAGCAGCCAGCACACGCCGUCCUCGGAUGAAUCUAGAAGUCUAGAUCAUAUUCAUCACCUCCCUUGGGAAUGUGUUGAUCUUUCACUUCCAACUUCCAGAGCACUGCCUGCCUCAUGUAUAAAACGGGGUGAAAGCCUGUUUCGAGAGCAUUGUUUGCCUCUGCUCAGAGGUUGAGCUUGGGAGCAUAUAUAUAUAUAGUGACACGUGUUUGAAAUCCCCAAAAUCUAGAUUAGCACCCCCUAGCCUAAUCCGAGUCCAGAUUAGUUAAAGAUGGGGAGACAGAGGAAGCUAAAGAAGCUAGCAAAGCUAGAACGGGCUGGUGUAGUGGCCGUCAUGUGGCCGGCCAAUCAUUCAAUCAAGCAGCGGUCAACAGCUUUAGCAAGCUCCCCCGUCUGCUUUUCCGUCGGUUUCUUGCCAUUCUCUUUUCCUGUUUCCUUUUUCGGCAAGCGGCUAGAGGAGCAAGCUGGUAGAGUGUUGGCGUGUGGUGCUCUGUCGCCUCGCCAACCACCGAUGGAGUGGGCAGCCAGCUUGGUUGCUUGGUGUCUAUGGAGAGAUCACUGGAUGGAGCUUCAUGUCCGUCGAUUCAUCAUUGUUAGUCACCACAAAAGAAUUAAGUGGCAGCAUCGUCUCACUGUCACUCCUUCGUCCAGACAACAGAUUUCUACUUUCAUUUUUGUCCAGUAGUAAGUAACGUGCUGUUACAAGUAGCGGGACGUUCAAUCUCGGUGCUCCAUUUGUGCAUGUGUAAUGCUUACUCCUCGUAAAGGCGUGCUUCUUUCACCGUUGCAUUGAACGUGCCCGCGCAAAUUGCAUGAGAAUUUUCCACGAUUUGCGUAUGGCACGCCGCUGGUCGCUAGUCGCUACCGGUCUUCUUCGCCGUGUUGCCCAAUGCUGCACUUUUUUUUUGAGACUCGCUCAAUGCCGCAAUUACGUCGCGAUGGGAGGAUGGCCAUGACCCAUGUCAUCUCCAGAGUCUGGGCUUGCUAGGGUCCAACCGCUGCAUUCAGGCUAAAAUGACAAGUUUGAACACUUUUAGAAGGUUUAGCAUGAAAUGAUCACAUUUCAAACUUCUUUCACGAUAUUGACUCUUUUCAGCAACGCCGCCCACCUAGGCGUUUGCGUUCCACAAGCAAAUACUUGGAUCAUGACGUUUCCACCAUGGCCCUGGCGUGGCCAAACGAAAACGCUGUGCAAAACAAAAAUAGAAAAAAGAAACGACAGAAAAAUGAAAAAAAAGGGCGCCCCGCCCCCACACUGGGUCAGCCCAAAGUGUACCGAGGGGUGUGUUGAAAUCUUAAAAAAGCUCAUGGAUUUAUUAAAUGAUCGUAGGUUUUAAAAAAGUUCAUGAAUUUGAAAAGGAUACAUAAAUUUGAAAAAAAAUCACAAAAAUAGAAAAUAUCGAAUUGUGAAAAAAGCUCAUGGAUUUAUUAAAUGAUCGUAGGUUUUAAAAAAGUUCAUGAAUUUGAAAAGGAUACAUAAAUUUGAAAAAAAAUCACAAAAAUAGAAAAUAUCGAAUUGUGGAAAAUAUUCAACAUUUAAAAAUACUCAUAAAUUUGAAAAAGUUCAUGAACUCGAGAGGAAGUUCACAAAAAUUGAGAAGUUCGUGAAUUUGGAAAAAGUACAAAAACUGGAAGGUUCGGGAAUACGAGAAAAGUUCAUAUAAAUUGAAAAAAAAUUGAGAUUCGUGAAUUUGAAUAUAUUUUUUACCGAAACCGGUUUUGCACCUCUCUGGUUUUACCCAGUUCUCUCUGAAACGCUCCGGGUAUGCGCCAGUUAGUAAAUAAGCCUAUAAGUGGCGGCUUAAGCGGGAGCAAGUAGUUAACGAGCGCUCCUUCGGGAGCCUCGCAACGAUCAGCGCCAUUUGGCGCGUUUUCAGCUUUUUUCGGGUUUUUUCGACGUUUUGGUUUUCCCCAGGUCUUUCUUAGCUUUUCGAUAAAAAAGAAAUCAAGAAAAAAAAUUCACGAAAAAACGUGUUUUUUUUCCGUGAAAGUCACGGUUUUUCUUCCGCGAGAGGCACGGUUGUGCUUUAGCGAGAGUCACGGCCGUGCCUCUCGGAAACAAAAAAAACGCGUUUUCUGUUUUUUUUUCGCGAGAGUCACGGUUUUUCUUUCGCGAGAGGCACGGUUGUGCUUUCGGGAGAGUCACGGUCGUGCCUCUCGGAAAGGGAAAAACAAAAUGCGUUUUCUGUUUUUUUUCGUUCGUGAGAGUCACGGUUUUGCUUUCGUGAGAGGCACGGUUGUGCUUUCGCGACAGUCACGACCGUACCUCUCGGAAACGAAAAAAAACGCGUUUUCUAUUUUUUUCCUUACACGAGAGUCACGGUUUUGCUUCCACGAGAGGCACGGUUGUGAUUUUGCGAGAGGCACGGGCGUGCCUCUUUCGGAAAGGGAAAAACCGUUCUCCCGGUUCGGUUUUUUUGCCCGAUUUUUUUUGUGAAAAAAAAGUUUGUCAAAAACUAUCAACAUGGGAUCCAGUUUUGAAGAUCUCGACGCGAGGAAUCUAAUGGUGAAAACGGUUCGAGAUUUGGACGCACGGUUUAAGAGAUGAAACGUUUUGAAUAAACGGAUCUACGAAAAAAAAUAAAACUCCCUGGUUGCGACAAGUGGCGCGCUGCAUGCACGCCAUUUGUCGCGACCUGGGAAAGUGAAGCGUCCUUUGCAACGAGUACUUCUUAAUUAGUGUUUUCGGGCUUAAGCGCGAAAUAGGACUUGGGCGGGUGGUGGCCAUGACCCAUGACAUGUCUGAGCUCUGGGCUUGCUAGGGCCCCAACCGCUGCGUUUGCACACAGCCCGCGUUCGGAAAGGAAAUGAGGCCCGACUUCCUUACGGUGGGUCUGGGCCUGAACCAGCGUAGCUGCCUAAAAGCUUUCCUAUCUUCUUCUCCCCCCCAAAAAAAGAACUUCCAUUUCUCUCUGCCAUCCGGCAGCACAUUGGCGGAAACAGCUUGGCUGGCGGGAAUGAGCACUAGUCUCCCUCUCCGUCUCCGGUGGCGAAGACGGCAUCGGCGUGCGAUAGCAAUUCAGAAAGAAAACCAAGGCACCGGCACGGGGCAACUUCUACUUGUGGUCGGUGGUUAAGGCACGGAAUUCCGUUCAUUCACACUGUGCAGUUACUCUCACUCCCGCCAGCCAAGCUAAACACUUUGCUCCGUGACUCGCAGCAAUGCAUCAAACGGAAGCCUUUGGCGACUGUACCUCAACCCGAAAGAGGAGUCGGGGCACAGGAGCUUCAGACCUUCAGUGCAUGCGCCCGUGCUAGCUGCUAGCCCAGUGAUGGAUGGAUGGAUGGAUCGAUCGGCUUUCUGGUUUCUGUGGUCAAGAUCUUAAGCUGUAGGGAUUCAUUUGACUCGCAGAACAAAACAAAAUCUGCACUUGCCUUCUCUUUUUGCUUUUCCACGCCGUCGUCGCUGUGAAUCUGUGAUACCGUUCGCUGUCCACCUCCACGCAAAAGAAAGAAGUGUUUCUGUGCCUCGCACGAGAUACACCGCGCUUUCCGUAUCACACAUUACCGUCAUAUAAUGAUAAUCCCAUGAGUAAAAGAUGUGCUAGCAUAAAAAAAGUUGAUAAGGGCCGUGAAACCUCUAGUCUCGUACUCUACUCUACUAGCUACCAUGUGCUGUUUUUGUUUUUCCCUCCUUUUUAUAAGGAAUUACGCCGGAGAUUAUAUAUAGGAGAAUAUGAAUUUUAUCAACUAAGAAAAUGGAUUUUAUUUUAUUUUUGGCAAAAGGCGUAUCAUUCAUUACAGAAUGCAGAUCCACACCCACAAGCAUUUCCCAGUUUGACAUAUAGAGGCCACAGCUAGCUACAGGAUAUAUGUCUCUCCGUUUCUCUGUAGCAUUUCCAUCUCUCCCCCGAGAGCAAGAAAAGUUCUUGCUAGCUCAAUGCCUCGAUACAGCAUUAUUAUUACCCCUCCUAAACACCAGGACGGCCGGUAAAACGGAAGCCGCGCGCGAAGGAUACGAUCGCCAAGACAAGGGGCCGAGAACGUUGGGGCACGGCGGCCGGGAAAGGCGCAGGGCAUGGCCGGGGACGCGCCGCCGUCGCCGACGGCGGGCGAGGAGCCCUCGCCCGCGUCGGCGCCGCUGCUGCUGCGGCGGAGGGGCUCGUACCAGCGCUGCAUGUCGCACGCGCGCGACGAGCUCCGCAGCUUCCGCUCCUGCCUCCGCUGGAUGUGCGUCGACCACUCGGACGGCUCCAGCGCCGCGGCCUCGUGGCUCGUCUUCUUCGUCCUCGCCGUGGCCGUCCCCGUGGCCGCGCGCGUCGCCAUGCCGCGCCGCGCCUACGACACGCAGGUGCAGCUCUCCCUCACGCUCUCCGCGGCGCUCGCCUACCUCACGCUCACCUCGCUCAUCCGCCGCCGCGGCCUGCGCCGGCUGCUCUACCUGGACCGCCUCCGCCACGACUCCCAGGACGUGCGCGCCGGCUACACCGUGCAGCUCGCGGGGUCCUUCCACCUCCUCGCCUGCUUCGUCCUGCCCUGCUUCCUCGCCGACGCCGCCUACAAGGUGUUCUGGUACUGCGCGCACCGGCCCUUCCCGGCGUGGUGGUCCGCCGCCGCGUGCGCCAUGGAGAUGGCGUCGUGGAUGUACCGCACGGCCAUGUUCUUCAUGGCCUGCGUGCUGUUCCGGAUCAUAUGCUACCUGCAGAUCCUGCGCAUGACGGGCUUCGCGCGGGACUUCGGCCAGUGCGCCGACGUGGCCGCCGUGCUGGGGCAGCACCGCCGAAUCCGUGACCAGCUCCGGCGGAUCAGCCACCGGUACCGCAAGUUCAUAAUGUACUGCCUCUUGCUCGUCACGGCCAGCCAGUUCACCGCGCUCCUCGGCGCCACGAGGCCCCACGCGCAGGUCAACAUCGCCACAGCCGGCGAGCUCGCGGUAACGUUCCCCCGGCCGGCGCUGGUGUGCAUGCUCGAUCGUCCGUUCAUUCGACAUACAGUAUGUAAAUGACUUGUUCUUGCGCGUCUGGAAUUUUCUUCAGCUCUGCUCCGUGAGCCUCGUGGCAGGCCUGCUCAUCUGCCUGCACAGCGCCGCAAAGAUCACGCACAAGACGCAGGCCAUCACCAGCAUCGCCGCGGCGUGGCACGCCGACGCCACCAUCGACACCGUGGAGCGUGACCAGGAGAACCCCAGGACGCCGAGCAGGUCGUGCCUGCAGCAGCAGCAGGUGCCCCCAUCCCCGGACUCGGACCAGUCGGACGACGACGAGAUGUCCCCGAGCGAGGACAGCCUCGACACCUCCUCCAAGUUCACGUCCUUCCACGCCACUCACAUUUCAUACCAGAAGAGGCAGGCGCUAGGUAAGCAUGCAUCGUGCCGUUUGCGGUUUGAUUUCGCCAUUGCAAAGCACUGUAGCUGAUCAUGGCGUUUUCAGUGACCUACCUGGAGAACAACCGCGCAGGCAUCACGGUGUUCGGCUUCGUGGUCGACCGGACGUGGCUCCACGCGCUCUUCAUGCUCGAGUUCUCGCUAGUCAUGUGGCUGCUGGGGAAGACCAUCGGUAUAUCUUAGAGAAGGGCGAUCAUCUCGAUCCCUGUCAACUGUGUGUGUAUAUGAUGAACCAUCCAGCUCCUAUCGAAUCAUGUAGAUCGCCACCCUCUCAGGGGUGUAAACUGAGCGCAGAUAGCUAAGUAAACUCAUGUUCCAGAUAUAAAUCGUGUUCAUUGCCUCCUUGCAAUCUGCUUACCUGAUGACAAACUGUAACAUGUUUACUUGCAAGUUGCAACCAACUCCUAACAAGUUGGAUCGAGGGAACCACAAUUCAGCACAUUGAGAUUGGACAACACCAGACGGGAACCACGAAAUACAAGUCGAGCAAUAUGUCAAAAGAAAUUCAGAAACAUAUAACAAAAUGGUCUGACUAACUUUGAACAGAAAUGACCAAGAGUUGGGUUGUGCUUUUCUAGGACAAUAACACCAAUGGCUAAAGCAAUCUUUUGCCUAACAUACGCUGCUUCUAUUCUACUUUGAUAAAAGGAAAUAAAAGAAACGUCAUUCACAGGUCUAGCAGCGCAUUCAUCAGAGAAAAAGAAGUGGCCCAACAAGAAAAAAAAAUCUUUUAAACCGCACACUCUGUGACCAGACCAGAAAGAAGCAUGCUAAAUGAUUCAUGAAUAGUGGUUCCGCCAGACCAGCUCUCAUGGUAAGGUGCUGAUGUCUGCUUCCUGGCAGAUGAAAUGCUCCCAUUUC